UAUUGACAUCACUAACAUUUUGAAUGGGUUGUGAGUGAAGUAAUUUCAUAAUAACCAGCUGACAACAAGACGCCCACGCAUUCGUUCCAAGCUUAGAACACUGAGAAUUGAAAAUACGAAACAAAAUUUGUGCUGCACCAUUUCGAACACUUGCCCAUGAGUUUUCGCAAAGAUCGGCAAGAUGCACUAGAAGCAUAAUCCAAAGUACUUCUGGAAGAAUCUCUUUCGAUUUCAUUGAAGUAAAGGCGUAUAGGUCUUCAACUGAAUUAUAUGCACAAGAAAAGUCUGACGUACUGAACAUGUUUUUCAAUGUAUCAGAGACAUUCCAAAACAACCCAACGGCUGUCAGAGACACAUUGGCGUCUUCAAGUUGCCUACAAAAUACGAGCAAGGUGUCCAUGAGAUCUAAAUAGUUGCUUGUGUCAAGUGAAGCCAAAAAGUCAGUACAUAUUAAUUGAAGGCAAGAGAAAGCAAGCCUCACAAUUUUCGCACCCUUUUCACUCCCAAAACAAGUGGCACCGUUUAAACAGUUAAAUCUCAACAUUUCAAACACGUACUGCCAUCCAUGAAGGACGUGAUGGCCAACAGUCUCCAAAAUU